GAUUGGUCCCCGCGCAGUACUAGAUUGCAAACCCCGUCAGAUCCGGAAGGAAGCAGCGGUAGUAAUUGAGGUAGGUGCGUUGGUCAGGCUGAUUGGC
rnacentral:SRP_RNA from 1 species